CCUACGGGAGACUGCAGUGAGGAAUAUUGGUCAAUGGACGCAAGUCUGAACCAGCCAUGCCGCGUGCAGGAAGACGGCUCUAUGAGUUGUACACUGCUUUUGUACGAGGGUAAACGCAGAUACGCGUAUCUGUCUGACAGUAUCGUACGAAUAAGGAUCGGCUAACUCCGUGCCAGCAGCCGCGGUAAUACGGAGGAUUCAAGCGUUAUCCGGAUUUAUUGGGUUUAAAGGGUGCGUAGGCGGUCGGAUAAGUUAGAGGUGAAAUCCCGAGGCUCAACUUCGGAAUUGCCUUUGAUACUGUUCUGCUAGCGAGUAGUUGCGGUAGGCGGAAUGUAUGGUGUAGCGGUGAAAUGCUUAGAGAUCAUACAGAACACCGAUUGCGAAGGCAGCUUACCAAGCUACUUCUGACGUUGAGGCACGAAAGCGUGGGGAGCAAACAGGAUUAGAUACCCUUGUAGUC
rnacentral:rRNA from 1 species